rnacentral:rRNA from 1 species
UACGUAGGGGGCAAGCGUUUGUCCGGAUUCAUUGGGCGUAAAGAGCGUGUAGGCGGCCAGGUAGGUCGGUUGUGAAAACUGGAGGCUCAACCUUCAGAGGUCGACCGAAACCAUCUGGCUAGAGUCCGGGAGAGGAGAGUGGAAUUCCUGGUGUAGCGGUGAAAUGCGCAGAUAUCAGGAAGAACACCCGUGGCGAAAGCGGCUCUCUGGGACGGUACUGACGCUGAGACGCGAAAGCGUGGGGAGCGAACAGG